rnacentral:rRNA from 1 species
CUACGGGUCGCACCAGUGGGGAAUAUUGCACAAUGGAGGAAACUCUGAUGCAGCAACGCCGCAUGGGGGAUGACACUUUUCGGAGCGUAAACUCCUUUUAUAUAGGAAGAAGAUGACGGUACUAUAUGAAUAAGCGCCGGCUAACUCCGUGCCAGCAGCCGCGGUAAUACGGAGGGCGCAAGCGUUACUCGGAAUCACUGGGCGUAAAGAGCGUGUAGGCGGAUUAAAAAGUCAGAAGUGAAAUCCUAUAGCUUAACUAUAGAACUGCUUCUGAAACUCUUAAUCUAGAAUAUGGGAGAGGUAGAUGGAAUUUCUGGUGUAGGGGUAAAAUCCGUAGAGAUCAGAAGGAAUACCGAUUGCGAAGGCGAUCUACUAGAACAUUAUUGACGCUGAGACGCGAAAGCGUGGGGAGCAAACAGGAUUAGAUACCCCUGUAGUC